CGUCUAUAUACGUAUAGCAUAUCAAUAAGCGGAGGAAAAGAAACUAACUAGGAUUCCCUUAGUAACGGCGAGUGAAGCGGGAAGAGCUCAAAUUUGAAAUCUUCAAGGUUCUACCUUGACGAAUUGUAGUUUAUAGAAGUGUUUUCUGUCAGUGGAGUGGCAAAAGUUCUUUGGAAUAGGACAUCAUAGAGGGUGAGAAUCCCGUAUUUGGUCAUUCCUCCUAGCGUUGUGAUACACUUUCAACGAGUCGGAUUGUUUGGGAAUGCAGUCCAAAAUGGGUGGUAAAUUUCAUCUAAAGCUAAAUAUUGGCGAGAGACCGAUAGCGAACAAGUACCGUGAGGGAAAGAUGAAAAGAACUUUGAAAAGAGAGUUAAACAGUACGUGAAAUUGUCAAAAGGGAAGCGUUUGACACCAGUGUUGUUUUUCCGAAAAUCAAUUACGAAUGGCCGGAUUUUAAGUUUCAUGACCUUAAAAGCUUGUUUCUUAUUUUUCUUGUCUUUCUUAAUGCACUUUUCGGUUAACAAGUCAACAUCAAUUUCUUUUGUUGUAAAAGGUUAAGAGGAAGGUGGCUUUCUUUUCGGAGAAAGUGUUUAUAGCCUUGUACCUCUGCAAUCGGAGAGAUUGAGGUCUGCAGCGUAGAUCCUUCGGGGUUAGAUACAUUUGUGCUGAGUUAUAGCUUUUCAUAGACAACUUGUUGACUAUGUUAAGUCUUGUAGCUUACUCGCUUAUGCUAUUUUACCUACGCUUAGGAUGUUGAUAUGCAUGACUGAUAU
rnacentral:rRNA from 1 species